CCUACGGGUGGCAGCAGUGGGGAAUAUUGCGCAAUGGGCGAAAGCCUGACCCAGCGACGCCGCGUGAGGGAUGAAGGUCUUCGGAUCGUAAACCUCUGUCAGCAGGGAAGAACAGUCACCGUGCUCAUCAGCAGUGAAUUGACGGUACCUGCAAAGGAAGCACCGGCUAACUCCGUGACAGCAGCCGCGGUAAUACGGAGGGUGCGAGCGUGAAUCGGAAUUUCUGGGCGUAAGGCGCUCGUAGGCGGUAUGUCAAGUCAAGGGUGAAAUCCCCGGGCUCAACGUGGGAACUGCCUUUGAAACUGGCAAACUGGAGUGUGUGAGAGGAUAGUGGAAUUCCAGGUGUAGGAGUGAAAUCCGUAGAUAUCUGGAGGAACAUCAGUGGCGAAGGCGACUAUCUGGCACAUAACUGACGCUGAGGAGCGAAAGCGUGGGUAGCAAACAGGAUUAGAUACCCUUGUAGUC
rnacentral:rRNA from 1 species